rnacentral:lncRNA from 1 species
GGGACACGUGGCAGGCGUGUUGGGUUCCAGCUGGGUUGGCUUUGAGAGUCUGGUGGGAUGAACCCUCAUGGCUCCACCGUCACUUUGAGGUGGUGUCACCUCUGACCUCUGACCUUCAGCAUGGCAUGACCUCGCUGAGGUGACCCUGGUGUCCCACAUAUCACCCUGAGUGUUCUUAAUACACAGUCGAGGGCUGUGUUCAUUGGACUAUUCUGGUGUCACCGCCCACUUCAUUUCUGUGCCUGGCAGCACUUUUACUCCUGGUUGGGAGCAUGACCGCCUCCCAGUUCAGCUUCCUCCUGCGUCCCAAGUGAGCGGGGCGGCUGUCCUCGAGGACUCCGGGCUCACAGCCAACCUGCUGGCACGGCUCGAGGACUCCGGGCUCACAGCCAACCUGCUGGCACGGCCGCCCUUUCCCGCCCUGCCUCGGGUGAGCCAAGGACUUGUCUUCUGCUUCCUGGGUUCCUGAAAGAGCUCUCCUCUGAUUUCUCAAAGGCAAAAUAAAACUCAGAUUUAAGUCUUUGGUGCGUAGCCCCUAAUUUCCUUCCCUUUCUCUGAAUCCUCACUGCCCAGCAUGAUGGACCGGCCUGGGCUCAGGACCUGAUUCCACAGGCUCCCAGCCCUCCCACAGGUACCGUGUCUUCUGUGCUGGUGUCGCACCCGCCGGCCACCGCCACCCUGCGUCUUAGACGUCCCGCCGCAGCUGUGUUUCCACCUCAUCUCCAGCUUGAGUGGCAGCCAGCGGCGCCACCUGCACACGAGCCCCCUCCAUUCGAGAAGCACAGACUAUGAGUGUGGCCACGCGUCCCAUGACGUGAACUCACGUCUGCGCCGAGACCUUUGCCGGCGGUUUUUUACUGACGGAGUAAGCACUGGAGAUGCUUGGUACAGCGUCUUCCAUCGCCGAAGUUGGGAUCCGCCAGGCCUGAGCAGUUCUGCAGCAUAUCUGCCGUGAACUUGCAGGAGAACUUGGUGUGGUUGGGAGCGCGGAAACUCUCCUGGAAGAAGUACUGCUCGGAGGUGCAGUUGAUGCUGUCCUCCUGGGCUGCUGGAGAGUAGCCUGCAGACGGACGCACCUGCCAGCCCUGUCCUGCCCUGGCCCUGACGCCUGGCUGCCCCCCGGGAAGGCCUUGCAAGCCCUGAGUGCGAGUUUCUCAUGAAAUAGAAAAGGCCGAAGCUGUGGAGCCGUUUCACACCUCACCUGCUGCUUCACACCUCACCCACCCGCCGCUUCACACCUCACCCACCCGCCGCUUCACACCUCACCCACCCGCCGCUUCACACCUCACCUGCCGUUUCACACCUCACCUGCUAGGAAGGCGUGGAGAGUCUGUGUGAGGUCUGCCCAGGUUCUGUUAUCAGAGACGUUGUAGACAAUUUCCAGGCCUUUCUCCCCGUAAACAUCCGGCCUUAAGGUUACCCCUGGAGAGAGAGACCUUUGUGCUUAGCGUCUCCAAAUGCUCACCACAUUUAAGCCAUCAGUUCUGAAGUGGCUGAGGAUACGCCAGAGGCGGUGGCCCAACCCAGGAGCCUCCUCGGAGUAAACUGUCUGCAGCACAGGAAGGAAGGACCCCCAGGACAGCACAGUCAGAAUGCAGCCUGGGUCCCUGCUGGGAGUUGCCCCGGCCCUGGAACCUGGCUGGCUGCCAUGGUGGGGGGUGGGGGGUGGCUGGCUCUCUCCACCGGGUGCCUGCUCUGUGACAGGUGAUGACUAAUCCAGAGGCUGCACCUGGGUUUCUAUGUAAAAUUGCAUUUGAACAUGCAUUAAAAAAAAUCUUCACUGGUUUUGGUUAAGAACAAAAGCAGUCUAACAACAUGUUAACUGUAAAACUGAACAUCAGGAUGCACACAGCGGGGAGUGAAACGCAGAGCCGUCGACUUUCCCGAUGUGAACCGUCAAAUGUGCAUCCUUUGCACACUUUCCUGUUUCUGUGGAAACACAGAUGCAGAAACGUGUGUUUACUGCAGGUCCUUAGGAACAGCCCGCCAUCCACACACCACUGGCUUCCCAGUGGCCACACACUUCCACUUCCCGUGCGAUUGGGAGCCUCUUUUUCUGUCAUUUUGUGUCAACUCACCUCAUUCUUUCCAUAAAUGUGGUUUCAUUGUGUGAAGCCUGCAGUUUGCUUAGUUGGUCCCCUAUGGAUGCAGCUGGCUUUACAUUUGAGGCUAGGUGUUGCUGUUUAGUGGAUUUUGUUAAGAGUAAAAUCUAUACGUGGUUUAAAAUAAAAACCUUCAGCAGGGUCUGAGGGAAAAGGAGGUUCUGCACUUGCUCUGCACACCGAUGGGGACGUCUGUCCUGUGGCCUCUGACGACUCGGAUGCCUGUUCCUCUGUCCUUGCACCCUGCUGAUGUGUAGGUGACCAGCGGGCUCUUUUCUGCUGGUCUCCCGGGUGUGCUCCUUGGAAACUGUUUCCUGUGCGUCCUUGCAGAAACAUUCCGUGUGCAUAUCCAAGCACAGGAAGUAAGUGGAUGGAAAAACUUUGUCUCUAUAACAAAACCCUUCUGUUUCAUAAUUAAAACUAAAGCCAAAGUCAGAUUUUAUAAUUUGGAGUCAUUUUCCUCAUGGAAAGAAACUAAG